rnacentral:tRNA from 1 species
GUCCCCAUCGUCUAGCUUGGUCAGGACACCAGAUUUUCAUUCUGGCGACAGGGGUUCAAAUCCCCUUGGGGACGCCA